UUAGCUGCCUUUUAAAAAUCAUGAAUUCUAUUAUAAACUUUAAAAUAUUAUAUAACACUUUUAAAGUUCUGGUAGACACAAAGACCAUCCUAAAAAGCAUCCUUUUAAAAACUAUUAAUUUUAAAACAUCUCUACUUAACACUUACAAGCUAUGAACCAAAAAGUUUUAAGUUACUAGCUCUAUGGAAUAAACAAAAAUGUGGUUUUAAAAAAUAAACUCAAAGUCAAUUGGCUAAAUUUUGGGUGGUGUAUGAUUAGGGUUUUCCAUCUACAGAGUUCUCGCCAGAGGUGGUAAAGGAGCCUGUAAUUUAUGCCAAAUCUUAGUACUGUACUAAUUUUGAAAACAAAAUGUGAAAAAUCUGUUUAACUGGCCAGCUGACAUUUUAUUAAAAUUCCAUCAAAAAUUAACAUUCUACAGUGCCCUUUGUUGGAAAAUGCCACUAAGUCAACAGCAUGAUUUAGAAAGAUACACAACAGCAAAAGCAAUUCUCGAAAUGCUGCUGCUCUUAGAAAAUAAAUGACCAUUAUCUUUAUGACUACCAUUAUCUCCUAUGUUAUUAAAAAUGCCACCGUAAUUACUCAGCUUUAUAAAUGUUUUCUUCCCAUUUUCCCAUCUACUCAAUACACAGUGUUCUGCAAUGAUUACCAAAGCUAUAAAAUUCAUGAUAAAAAUAUCGUGAAUACCUAAUUUAGAGCAUUUCCUUUAUGAUCACAUUAUAAAUACAGCUAUCACCAAAUUAUACUUUCUGCAGUUUAGGCCCACAUGGGUGCCUAAACAUAACUGUAAAACUGACACACCAUGUUUUAGGAUUUUUGAACAUAAUGAAGGCUUUGGUUAGUAAACUCUGGCCAUCUUUGUAAGGACUCAUCAUCUAUUACUUUGUGGUAAAUAUCAGUAAGUGACGCAAGUAAAUUAGCUGCAUAAGCAGAACCACAAGACUCUAUGAAAUAAAUCAACAGGUAAAGCAAACAAACAAUUACAAUAGGGUCACAUAAUCUGCAAAGCUAAAAACCCUGAGCCCUACUGUAAGAUUCUUCCAAAGGAAGUAAAAGGAAAAGCUAAAUGACAUAAAAUAACAUUAAAAAAUUCCCGAAUAAGCAUAAAAGUUCCAUGCCAGCGUUUCCAAACAUUCAUUUAUCGGCUCAUACCUAUUCCAAGGUAAUCUACGGAGAACCGUUAACAGUUAUAAUAACGUCGUUUCAACAAUUUUAACAAAAACUUCACACUGAAACAAAAUGUGAAGAAGGAAAACCACGUUUACGAAGGAGUACACAGGACCUCUCCAUUUUCUGCAUGGCUUUCCUGUAAAUCUACAGCUUUUUUAAAUAAAAAGAACCAAACAUUGCUGUACCUUUUUGUUACCGGCUACUGGAUGAGGCUGAGCUCCCACGGGAGUCCGAAGGAAUUCACCGAAAAAGCUCCGACCUUCCCAACCGCUCCCGACGGCCACUUGCUCAGGCAACUCCACGACUCAGAGAUACGGCGCAGGCAAUCUUCUCCGCAGACAGAAACGUGUCACAGCCACCGAUCCCGCAACGCAGCAACCCAAAGGAACUCGCUCUUGGCUUUGUAGUAGUUAGAGGGGAGCGCUUAAACUUGUGGUGUUUUUUGGAUUGGCUGAUUUUUAUGCAAAUAAGGGAUUGUACUGUCCACGACCAUAAAUAAGGGAUGUACUGUCGACUGCGAUUUGUGAUUGGUUCAUUUGAGGGCCAUUUUGAUUGGUGCUUGUGGAUAUGUAAAUUACGGUUGCCUCUGGGACAUCUUGAUUGGUCCAUCAAGGGUGGUUCAGGAUUGGAUCAGAUGGACCAAUCAAGAUAGCACAGAGUGCAAUCCCUUAUUCGCAAAAAAAUCAGCCAAUCCUAAAACAGCAAGGGUUUAAGCCCGCCCCCUGUAACCAAGGGAAGGUCAAAAGCAAUUUACGGCGGUUAACUGCCGUUUAGUUUCGCUUUUGCUGCCGUGGAGGAGUCUCCGUGAGUGAAACACCAGGGUGUAGCUGCAGCCCGCUGGGAGCGGUCCGGAAGGCUGGAGCCUUUCGGUGUCCUUGCGGCAAUUCAAAUAAAGCUUCGUUAUGUUGCCGCUGGACUGUUUCUGUGAAUUCCUUUCGGCUCUGGUGGAGCCCAGCUUCAGCCAGUAAGCCGGAAACAGCAAGAACAAACCUCUGGCCAAGUCGCAAAGCCUUCUCUGUUGGGCUCUGGGGACUGUGGCACUGUGUCCGCAUUGAAGCCAAGGUCUUCCUCCUUUGGGGCUGACAUGGUGGCGCUCCUGGGUCUGGAAAACUCAGGCAGUGUACACAAUUCUUGUUUCCAUGGCCUGAAUUACAUUUGUUUGUAAAGGAUUCCAGUAUGAGGAUUAAUACUCACAUUGGGUCAUGCCUUAACUGAAAUAACCUCAUCACAAGAUCUUCUUAGUUUACGCUUUUCUAGUCCACAUCCCGUUCCAGGACACCUACGUGUUGGCCCCGAGGACUCCAGCGCCUCCUCCGUGGGCUGUUGGGAGAGGCCCCUGCGGCUCUGGGACGACUCGGGCCGUGUCCACAGUGAGUGAAAAGCUUCCUGUUCCUACAGCUGAUGUUGAGGAGGGGCUUUGUUGUGGUUUUUCUAAGGUGAUUUUUCUUAAAUGGGGAACACAGCCCCUUUGUUUUUCUGCACUGUUCCCAUGGUGUUUAUUCUUUACUUUCUCCUGGAAUAGUUCAGCAAGGCUCAUCCACGUUUUCAUGCAUUGAGGGCCUUAAAGGCUGGACAUCGUGGCCUGCCGCAGUAUGUUUUCCCAAUUCAGCAUCGUCUCUGGGUUAGAAGUUCUGGUAGAUCCAGACAGAAUGGGAAACAUAUGCAACCAUGGAACAAAUGUAGAAAUUGUUGGGACCUUCCAGUUGUGAAACGUGGGGACACAUCAGUGCAGGAGGAGACCUCUUGAAACCUGAGGAGAAAGGGGUCAUGGGUGCCUCCUUUUACAUGCUCUUGUUAAGUUUUAAUAGGCUGUUUUUCCUGCAGUGUUAAAGAAGUGAAAACUAUUGAAAAAUUGGGAACUAGGUGUAAUUUAAGAAAAAUU